GAGGAUGGGCGGAAGCUGAAGCUGAAGAGCAGCGCGCUGAGCGCAGCCUGCAAAAGCUGAGGCAGAAGCAAGCAAUUGCUGGGUCAGCAAAUCAGGGGCCAUUGCCCAGCACUGCCCAGCGAGGGGCCCCUCAGAAGCCACCAAAGAAGACCCUGAGGGCCAAAGGAAGGGCUGGGGCCCCUGGUGGUCCCCAGGCUGCAUCAGAGCCCAGCGGGCAAAAGAGGAAGCGGCCCGGGCACCCGCCAAGCCUCCAGGCCACAGAAGGAGCCACCUCCUGGUCAGGCUUCCAGACGCGUGCAGAGGAGGAGCUGGUGGAGCUGCCAGGCGGCAAGAAGCGGCGCAGGGUCCUGGCCCUUCCCUCCCACUGGGGGCCCAAGAUCAGGAAUCGUGAUAAGGGCAAGGCGAAGGGGGCUCCUCCGAAGAAGACGACUAAGCCAAGGGAGCAGAAGGCUCGCAGGGCUCCCCAUCAGGUGUCCGAAAGGAAAGGGCGGGGUGGUCACCGCCAGGUGGAGGCUCAUUUCGAGCAACUGGUGGAGCGGUAUAAGCAGAAGAUCCUCGGUGGUGGCCGGACUGCGCUGCAAGUCAAGAAGAGCAAGUGGUUUGAGACCUGAGUCACCCCGGCGAACGGAGCCCCCCAGCUCAGGCAGGGCGGCCUCUUCUGACUCUUGCUGCUUGCAUAUCGAGUGCUGCCCUUGGUGAGAGGGAGGAGGCCGUGCCUAGCGGCAGCUUCCUUGGCACCACGUGGACAGAUGGGACACAGAAAGUGCAUUUGGGCUUGGGGCGGGCAAGCAGGAAGAGCCCCUGAGGCGCCGGGGUCUCUGCUGGCCCAGGGCUUCUGCAGCCAGGGCUGCUGGAAUUGUUCCCCAAUGCUGCCGGUGCCUCUGGAGGAAGGGAGAAGGCAAGGCAGCCUCCCGCUGGGCCAGGCCCAUCCUUGCCACAAGGGGUGAGUGUGCGGAGGGUGUGGCUCGGGGCCCUUCCUCUGCACUCAGUCCCUAGCCUACAGAAGCGCGUCCUCGCAACAUCGUCGUCUGCACGGUGGAAAUCGCAGCGGAGGCCUGCUGCGAGGAGGAGACGGCUCCAGGCACAGAGUCCCCAUACCUUAUUUGGACUCUUUUAAUAAAUGGCUUUC